CUACCAGUCGCCAAUGGCUGACACGCGUUCAGGACAUUGUCCUGGCCCUGCAAGAGCGGAUUUCGGCUUCCCCACUUUGGAAUCAGGAAAACUAUUCGGUUCAGGUCAAUCUCCCCAUGAAUCAUCAUUGCGUGGCAUGGUGGAUUGAGAUCUUCUACCACCCUUGUGGUGCACCUUCAUAUAUGAAGGCAAGUGUUCGUUCCUGGGCUUGCCCACUGUCAACUAGACGAUGCCGGCCCAGCAGAUUAUUGAAGAUGCCCAACAUAAGCACCGUGGCAGACUAUGUGUUGAAAUUGGGUCUAAUUUAUCGUUGGGUGAAUUGGUUUGGUGAAUGGAGAAUGGACCAAUGAAUGAAGACCAGCUAUAUUGAGUUUAUUUUUCUUUUAAAUAUUUAACAGUAAAUAUAAAAGAACUUGGAUUGACUGACCGAUGUACGAGUUUAACGCAAACCUGUUUUGGCAACAGUCUUUGACGUUCUUUUGUCCGGAAAUCAGCAGUUCGACAGUUGUUGAAGAUUUCCUGGAUAUACUUUAGGAAAGCUUGCUGAAACCAUUUUCUCGUCCCGCCAUUUUGAGGGCUGGGUAAAGAGAAAGGAAUUGGAGUUGCUCAUUUCAGUGGCCAUUUUGUUUAACAAGGUGCAGUAGCAACUUGCGUGCUUUGUACACAGAACUGACAUGCCUUUUAUCGGAAUCCUGGAAAUUGAUUACGGAUUUACAGCUAACAAGUUAAUCGACUACAUUAUGGAGAAAAUGGAAUCGUUCUGAACUGCAAGUUGUCGAUACCUAUAGGGGAAUUCUUAAAGGUUUCCAGAUGUACUGGCAAGAAUCGGUAUCAAAUUAUGGUAGUUGAAUACUCGCACACAGGUUCAACAUGGAAGAAAUGUGCAAGUGUUGAUGUUGCAGUGGACAAACGGGUGGUGUUAAACAAAUGGAUCUGAAAGUUACACAUAAGCCACGAGGAAAUUCAAACUUAACAGCCAUGAAGAUGAUGGUUCAAGUAAACCUGUUGAACUGAAGGUGGUAGGUGAAAAAAAGAAAUAUAUAAAAUUAAAGUGGGAAAAGUAACACAGCAGCUUGGGCAAUUAAUCCAACUUGUUACAGUAGAAUUUCCAUUCUACACUAUCUGCUACAAAAUUUCUCAGUAAUUUUUAAGUAUAAAUAUUGUGGUAUGUGGUCUGUGUGCAGGAAAUGAAUGAAAUUUGAUGUGUAAUAUUGAGAUAGGAAGACGAAUGUUGUUGUUCAAGUGGCAGACGCAAAACACAAUGGUGGAAGAUUUGUUUGGUUGUUAAAUUGUAGUGAAAAUGUUCCCCCGGCGUUGUACGGUGCUGCGAGGUGACAAGAUGAUUGUGCAUGAUAGUAGGUGGAAAACAAUUGAGAGGUUGUUUAAUGAUGUUGCACAAAAUGAUAUUGUGACACAAAAACAGGGAAGGGAUUAAGUUUGACUACUUUACUGUAUGUAUUGUUUUAAAUGCUUUUAUUGUAUUGCUUCAAACAAUUUGUUUGUUGGGAAAUUACGAGCUGUGAGGAUGGGAAAGUUUUUGAGACUUCCUGACUGUAAUGGUUGUUAAAUUGCCGUGUGAAUUUACUCUGCACAUCUAUCUUCGUUCGAUGGCCGGGCUAGCAGAUUAUUGAAGACGCCCAACAUAGGUGAGGUGCAUCAGUUUGGAGUUUGAUGGAAAAAAAGCCUGUUUCUGCAUCCUUAUUUAUACUGGUAAAUUACUACGUACGGGUAGAUUUCUGGCA